CGCUGGCGGCGUGCCUAAUACAUGCAAGUCGAGCGGACAGAAGGGAGCUUGCUCCCGGAUGUUAGCGGCGGACGGGUGAGUAACACGUGGGUAACCUGCCUGUAAGACUGGGAUAACUCCGGGAAACCGGAGCUAAUACCAGAUAGUUCCUUGAACCGCAUGGUUCAAGGAUGAAAGACGGUUUCGGCUGUCACUUACAGAUGGACCCGCGGCGCAUUAGCUAGUUGGUGAGGUAACGGCUCACCAAGGCGACGAUGCGUAGCCGACCUGAGAGGGUGAUC
rnacentral:rRNA from 1 species